CCGGCAGCAGACGCUGGAGAGCGCGUUUGCUGAGCUGCGCAGGCGCACAGCCCCGCCCUGGUCCGGCCAGGGAGUCUGCGGGCCGCUGCUGAGAUAGUGGCAAGGGAAGGUACAGCCCGGCCCUUCCGCGGGGCAGCUGGCCAUUUCCAGCAGGCCUGUUCUGUCCCAGGAUGACCUUCCAGGAGAUAUCCAAAACCAACCUUCCCAUUGCUGGAAAGAUCAGUAUGAAAUCCUGCUACUGCCCAUAUUUAUCGCCUGCCAGAGAAAGUUUUUAUCAUUAUGGAGAGAUCUACAUUGUCAACUGACCUAUUUUUUUGCGGUUAUUAUUACUCUGGAGUAUGUUCUUUCUGAUCAUAAUGCAGGGGGAAAUGCAAAGCAGGACUUGAAGCCAGCACUGCCACCUACAAGCGAGGACUGUGAAAGGGAAAAAGACUGAAACUCCAGUCAUCUGGAUAUUUGUCCAAGCUGCCAGAAAACUAAGAAUAGACCUGUAGAGCGGGGCUUCUGGUUUAUACAAAAUAGAAA